GGCGAAGAAACGAAGGAGUACAUUGGAAUGACGGCGGGGACGUUCAAGAAGAGGCAUGCCAACCAUAAAAAAUCACUAACUGUUCCUCGGUAUUCAGCGGAAACAGAAUUAUCAAAGUAUGCGUGGAAACUCAAGAAAAGCGGGAAACAAUACAACAUCAAGUGGAGCAUACUAAAGCGUGCCCGUGCGUAUACGGCCGGUGCAGCAAGAUGCAAUCUGUGCCUUGAAGAGAAGGUUUGCUUACUGGAAGCUGACAAAAGCAGGAUAUUGAAUAAACGCUCAGAAAU
rnacentral:lncRNA from 1 species